rnacentral:lncRNA from 1 species
GAAUGUGUGUUGCUCCUUGUGGCAGGUAUACUGUUCCAAUGCCCUGGGAUCUCUGUAGUGGUCGGUACUGUAUUGAUUAUAAAUGGUGAAGUCCUAGUAUCUUGCUAGAGUGAGCUGGCCAGGAUGGUGGAGCUCUACCACCAUUUCACAGGUUAUAGACAGGGGCCACCAGGUUUCAGGAAAGCAGCAAUGACCCCUCAGUAAUAGUUGGAAAGUGUGAUAUGACACUGAGCUUCACUGUGUUGGUGAAGAAGAGGUGAGGAAAAUAAAAGCUGCAGUUUGCCUCCACCUCUGAAGAAGCACAAUACACCUUUCUGGGUUACCAAUGGGAUACUUCCCAACAGCUUUGUCAUCACAUACAAUAUUCUCAAACAAGAUCUUAAUGGCAUCUACUUUCUCCAGGAACACAGCCCCUGACCUGUGUGUGUUUGCGUAGAGAAGGCAUGCUAUGUACCCCCUAGGAUAUGAAUCUGCCCACCACUCAAGCCUGGGAAAGCUGGCAGAGGAUGCACGUGUUUUACUCACCUGAGUGUUUACAAUGCUCGUGAGGUGCCUCCCUGAUAAAGGGAAAGGCUGGUAAAAUGCCACAGCGUUCUGGCUAAAGCAACAACGCAAUUGUGAAGAGAGAAAACUGCAUUCAUCCACAUGUCCCAGCAAGAGCUAUCACCAAAGGCAUUGUGAAGCAGUUGAGCAGUUACAUCUGCUCUCCUUUAACAGGAAUGAGUCUUUAGUACCCGGUUGCAAAUGUUGACUUUUACCUUUUCUUUAAAUGUCUGCUACUCUUUGUCAUAUUUCUUCUCCUUCUCUCCAAAUUCUACCAAUAAAAGUAAAAAUUACUGAAUCG